UGGGCUGGGCUGGGGGCGGCCCGGUUGGAGGACAAGGAACGGAGCUUCGGGCGUUUGGAGUCGCCCGCCCUGGAGUCUCGGAGCUCGAGCUGAGGAAGAGCGGGAGAAGAGGGGAGGGGGGCGGCGGCGGCGGCCUUGGACGGGGGACUGAGCACUGGAGCUGGACGCAGAUCUCCCCUCCCCGCCCCCUGCACCAUGAGCUGGGGCACCGAGCUGUGGGAUCAAUUUGACAACUUAGAAAAACACACACAGUGGGGAAUUGAUAUUCUAGAGAAAUACAUCAAAUUUGUCAAGGAACGGACAGAGAUUGAAAUCAACUAUGCAAAACAACUUAGGAAUCUUUCAAAGAAAUAUCAACCCAAAAGGAAUUCAAAGGAAGAGGAAGAAUACAAGUAUACAUCAUGUAAAGCUUUCAUUUCCACUUUGAAUGAGAUGAAUGAUUAUGCAGGGCAACAUGAAGUUAUUUCAGAGAACAUGACCUCACAGAUUAUUGUGGAGUUAACUCGAUAUGUACAGGAACUAAAGCAGGAAAGGAAAUCGCAUUUUCAUGAUGGUCGGAAGGCUCAACAACACAUUGAAACUUGCUGGAAACAACUUGAAUCAAGUAAACGACGAUUUGAGAGAGAUUGCAAAGAAGCUGACAGAGCACAACAGUAUUUUGAAAAAAUGGAUGCUGACAUUAAUGUUACAAAAGCAGAUGUUGAAAAGGCCCGGCAGCAAGCUCAAUUACGGCAUCAAAUGGCAGAGGACAGCAAGGCAGAUUACUCAUCCACUCUUCAGAAGUUUAACCAUGAACAGCAUGAACAUUAUUAUACUCACAUACCAAACAUCUUCCAGAAAAUACAAGAGAUGGAGGAAAGGAGAAUAGUCAGAAUUGGUGAAUCAAUGAAAACUUAUGCUGAGGUGGAUCGCCAAGUGAUACCAAUCAUUGGGAAAUGUCUGGAUGGAAUAGCAAAGGCAGCUGAAUCUAUUGAUCAGAAAAAUGAUUCACAGUUGGUAAUAGAAGCCUACAAAUCAGGGUUUGAACCUCCUGGAGACAUUGAAUUUGAGGAUUAUACGCAGCCAAUGAAGCGUACUAUAUCUGAAACUAGUCUUUCAAAUUCCAGAGGGGACAGCAAAACAGAGCUCAAAUUUGCUAGCAAGUCCAAGGGAAAAUUGUGGCCCUUCAUCAAAAAAAAUAAGCUUAUGUCCCUUUUAACAUCCCCCCCUCAGCCCCCCCCUCCUCCCCCUGCCUCUGCCUCACCCUCUGCUGUUCCCAACGGCCCCCAGUCUCCCAAGCAGCAAAAGGAGCCCCUCUCCCAUCGUUUCAACGAGUUCAUGACCUCCAAACCCAAAAUCCACUGCUUCAGGAGUCUAAAGCGUGGGCUUUCUCUCAAGCUGGGUGCAGGACCAGAGGACUUCAGCAACCUUCCACCAGAACAAAGAAGAAAAAAGCUGCAGCAGAAAGUUGAUGAAUUAAAUAAAGAAAUCCAAAAGGAGAUGGAUCAAAGAGAUGCCAUAACAAAAAUGAAAGAUGUCUACUUAAAGAAUCCACAAAUGGGAGACCCAGGCAGUUUAGAUCACAAGUUGAUAGAAGUUGGACAAAAUAUUGAAAAACUCCGACUAGAGGUCCAGAAAUUUGAGGCCUGGCUCACUGAAGUUGAAGGCAGACUCCCAGUCCGAGGGGAACAGGCCCGACGACAGAGUGGAAUGUAUGAAGCACAGACUACACUGUCAGUCAAUAAUUGUGCGCAAGACCGGGAGAGCAGCCCAGAUGGCAGUUAUACAGAGGAACAGAGUCAGGAGAAUGAGCUGAAGAUGAUGGCCACAGACUUUGAUGAUGAAUUUGAUGAUGAAGAACCCCUUCCUACCAUAGGAACCUGUAAAGCACUGUAUACAUUUGAAGGUCAGAAUGAAGGAACGAUUUCAAUAGCUGAAGGAGAAAUAUUAUAUGUCAUAGAGGAAGACAAAGGUGAUGGCUGGACACGAAUUCGGAGAAAUGAAGAUGAAGAAGGUUAUGUCCCUACUUCGUACGUCGAAGUCUAUUUGGACAAAAAUGCCAAAGGUGCUAUGACUUACAUUUAAUAAGAUUAAAUUCUUUUUUGUUGGAGUUUCUCCUUCCCCAUCUGUGACUGUUUCAGGUAGAACUUCUCUAAGGACUGGAUACAUUCCUUAAUGUGCUUUUUUUUUUUCACAGUUACACAAUGGAUUCAUGCAUUGUACAACUGACUUUUCAUUGAUUAUAUUUGAUAAUUCCUAAAGGUGAUGCGCUGGUGCAAGAGCCUCGAGUGAGCUUUCACAGGAGGAGAAACAAACAGUCUGCUUGUUUCCAUAGUCCACUCAAAUGGGUCAUGUGCAUAGACUUCUUGAGCUGGUCUGGAGUUAACCCUUGAAAUCUCAAUCUGAAAUGACAUCCCCUCAUUACUCAGAUGCUUGCUCUUUUCUUACAGCAUGUUCCUUGUAGCUCAGACUAAAACAUAGACCUUAGGCUUGGUUCUGUUGGGUGGGCUUCCCUUUCAUGGAGCUAAACUGACAGAACUGUUCUUUAAUUUCCAAUUCAGUUCAACAUUCAUGGUUGUAGGAGGUCUUCCCCUUGCAACACAAAACUAGAAACUCCGAGAAAAGUGCCCCAUGGCCUUUUAAAUUGCUCCCUAGCUCUCAGUCUGCUUGAAUGUGUGACGUGGCCCAUCUCAAUUUCACAACGUGCCUUUUGUGAUAAUUUUACAACUAGUCUCAUGAGAAGACUAAGGGAACAUAGAACUGGAGAUCCAGACAUACAUUAGCUAGACGGAGUGCUCAGAUUUUUAAAAAUGUAUUGAGUACCAUAGCAAUCAACAAUAAAUACUUCUUCCUUCCCGAAAGGCCAUGUGUAUUCAUUAGGGCUUUUUAAUAGCUGACUCUCUGGUCACACCAAACAUUCACUUUUUCAGGAUUCAGCCUGAUAGCUUAUGACUGCUUCCUUGCUUCUCUCCACCCCACCCCCACCUUUUCCUCUUACUCCACCAUAUAUACGUCCAUGCAUGCACCUGCAAAUAAUUGAGUUUGCAGUUCUGUCUUCAGUGUCUUCCGAAGAUCCAGUUUUAAGUCUCAUUCCCGUCUGCAUGCUUGCCCUGCUGCCCUGCCUAUACUCACCUUUUCAUAAAGUUUGAAGGACUUUGAAGUCUAUUGUCCCUUUAGUAAUCUACCUGUUUAUUAGUAAUAGUAGUUUGGACCUGUGCCUGAUCCUCGGGUAUUUUGGGCAUGAGCACCUCACCUAUGCAGUGUCAUAUUGGAACACAAAAAUCAUUUGGUUGUUCUUUCCAGGACCUCAAAUAGAUUCAUCAUUGUUUAUCACAUCAGAUUACUUUAAAACCAUCGUUCUGCCCUAAGUAAUCCUAUCACCAGAAUCAGAAAACAGUUAUAUUGUUUCUAAGCUUUUAUACUAUUUGGUCUAAUGAACAGUUUGCUUUUUGAGAUAGAAUACCUUUACUUUCUGAAUCUUUAAUUAAUACUGAAGUCAUAUCACAUGUGGCUGCUCUAGUCUUAGAUCUGCCAUCUUAUUAGCAAGUAAAGCUCUUUGGGGCUUAUUAACAUUAUUUAGCAUAGAUUGAACCAAGACAAGGGUGGUUAGAGUCAAUUAUGAAAGCUAUGAGUUAGAAUAAAACUUGAUGUUUAAGACAGGCAGUAGUAAUUGUUUAGUGAAGCUUCAGUUUGGUUCCUAGUAACUAGGAAGUUACUUUGUGAACAUUUCAUUCCUUCUUUGAGAAUCAGACAUUAAAAUUUAUCUCUAGCUCAGAAGAGACAGGUGCAGAAGUGUUUUCUCUAAGGGAUGUUCAGGGCUGGGUCUGUUGACUGGUUCAAUAUGUAAAAAUUAUGGAAAUUUUUCAAAUCAGCAAGUGGGGAAAGAUGGGAGAAAGUGCUGGCUGCAUAUAUCAUGACUUCAGAAGCAAGUCCUUCCAGUGGCUAGAAACCAUUAAACUAGUAGUAUCUUUAGGAGGAAGUAAGUAAGUAAGUAUCUUCCCUCUUGACUUGAGCUUAGAGGCUUGAAAAACCCCAGUAGAACUGUAUUGCUCAAAUGUCAUUCCAUAGGCAGAAGCACUUUGAUGCAAUAGUUGGUUUGAGGGAAUUCUUCAAUGUCCAUCAUGGUUCAAGGAAGAGGAUUGGCUUGGGUAAAUGAAAUUGAAGUUAGAUACAUGUCAGAAGGAAGAGUAACUCUUAUCUCCAAAGUCUUGCAGAAGUAGUAUAAUUGUUGUCCUGAGGGUCAUUGGAACUAUUCAUGGUCUCCUAGAUUAUUAUGCUGUUGUAUGACAGUGCCUACUCCAAUGCAUGCUUUUCCCUUCAGAAGGUGGCACUGCUAAUUCUCUACAAAUAUCACAAAUAAGGACCAUUCUAUACUUUAUCCUCCAACUAAACAGAAAUUUUGCUUUUGAGAUGUCAGAAUCUUGGACUGGGGUAAUUCCAUGUGUUCCUGUUAAUUCUCAUUACAAGCAGAUAGAUGAAUUCUUUGCAAAAUAGGAAAUAUUUUUAAGCUUCUAUAAUUUAUUCUUAUAAUAUCUGAUGCACUGUUGCACUCCCAUGUCAACUAUGUCCAAGCAAGGAUGGAAAUGUUUAAUUUUCCAUUGGUUCUAGGUGGACAAUAAAUAAUUAGCCUUUAUUAAGUAAAUCAACUUAUUGCAGUGCCAGAGUUGCUACGUAGUGAUGUUGAAAGGACUAUUAGCUGGAGGGUACCAACGGGGCUUAGUGGGGAAAAUUUUAGAUGACAGCAGUGAAAAUGUUGUGGAAUAAUUUACAGAUAUAAGCUCAAUCUCUUAAAUGUUUCUUUCUCUUCUUGCCCAUCGCACCUCAUCUUCCCAUAACUGCUGGAAGGUUGUGGUAUCAUUUUAGAUGUUUUAAUUUUAAAGAAAAUGAACCCUGAAUGUUGACAAAGCAAAGUCAUUUCCCAAAAGGCAAAAUCUAAAAUUGAUCCAUCCUCAGGAUAUGCUGAAGAAAAAAUUGACCAGGCAUUAACUGCUGUGAUGGGACUUGCCUUUGAAUUUUUACCAAUUUCACCUGGUAGCAUGUUGUGGCCCUUACAGUCUCUAAAGUGAGUGAGAUUUGCCACUGCCCCACCAGCACAGUCACUAUUGCCUUUCUGGAACAUCUGUAAAUAGAGAAUAAAAAAACAUAUUUACUGAAAAAAACAUAAAA